AUUAAAAAAAAUAAUAAAAUAAAAAAAAAUUAUGCUGUUUUUCGGCCCCGCGUCCAGCCAAUUACUGCGGACGAUGUAGCUUGCGGUGCACAGAGUUUCUCGUCAUAAAAUAUGCUGGUUGAGAGCGCAUGGACCACAGUCUUAUAAUGCUGGCUACUAUCAUGAGCACGGUCCAUGUAACCAUUAAUUAUGGUGGGUGACUAAUGGGAUGGCAGGCGGUGGUGGGUGGCCGGUGAUUUUGCCCAAAAGAGGUUGUAUUGAAUGAUAUUUUUUUUUUCACGGCAUUAACCAUUUGAUCAGUUUGCAUAGCUCUCCG
rnacentral:lncRNA from 1 species